AGUCUCCGCUAGAAACGCUCUGGGCGCGCACUCCUGGAGACGCGGAGGCCCGGGCGCUCCAGACCAGUGUCCUUGUAGGAGGCUUCUUCACGAAGCUUAGAGUUUGGCCUUUCAUAGGGAAAGACUUGCUCGGGAGCAAGUCUAAGGGAUUUUAAGGGAUUUUAAAUCUUCCUGGGCCAGGGCUAGGGAGCUCUAGUGACAGUGUCUUGGUCUGGAAUCCAACUCUCCAAUUUUGAGGCCGCAGGGAGGAAUUCUGAGACUUUAGAGGCCGCACAGCCUUCAGCGCGCUCACCGCGUCCAGGCGUCAGUGAGGGGCUAUCUCGAGGCGCGAGUGCACAAAAGGUAGCGCGAGUCUCUUCUCAGGCGAUCCAGAUAAGAGGAAAUGAGAGCCGGGUUUUCUGACUUCCAACUCAUUAGGGACCAGGUUCUUUUUCUUCAGGAUCAGGCACAGAGACUGACUGAAUGGCUCCAAUUAUCAGGAUUUGAAAACCCAGUAUCAGAAUCUACCACUUUGUAUGUUAAUUAUUCAUACUGCAUGACUGAGGAUUUUGGAGGCAGAGAGAGAUUCAUCUGCAAUAUUUGGAACACCAAUGGAGGUCUACGUCAACACAGAAUUUAUACAGCAGCUGGUGCUAGUCAGAGCUAAUGACAGAAUUUCAGUUUAAUAAAAAGACCCCCAACUGAGCACACCAUCUUGAAAAAAGUAUACUUAUCAAACAGCUUUCAAUCAGUUCAAGAGAGACACCUUAAUUGGGGAGAGGAAGAAUUGCAGAGUAGUUUGUAAUCAUGCCAAUUCCAGAUCAAUAACUGCAUGUCUGUUCUUUGGUAGAAAUAGCUUUUGCUUUAUAUUAAGUAAUCACAUAUAUAUUCUCUCUAUUUGGAUAAGGAAACCUUCGCUUUAUUUGACAAUGUAUAAUGAUAUACUCUUCUAAUUCACCUCUGUGUCUUCACAAUAAACAUGAGUAAAAUUUAGACAAGUGAUGGUAAAGGUCAAUAUAAUUAUUUAUUUUUAAAAUAAAUUUUGUAUCUAACAGGAAAGCAGUUCUUAUGAAAUUUUUAUAUUUUCAAAAAUUGUUUUGUUCAAAUAAAAUUUUAUGAGUAAAGUUAAA
rnacentral:lncRNA from 1 species